rnacentral:rRNA from 1 species
UACGAAGGGGCUAGCGUUGCUCGGAAUCACUGGGCGUAAAGCGUGCGCAGACGGUUGCGUAAGUCAGAUGUGAAAGCCCCGGGCUCAACCUGGGAAUUGCAUUUGAGACUGCGUAGCUAGGGUGCGGAAGAGGGAAGCGGAAUUCCCGGUGUAGAGGUGAAAUUCGUAGAUAUCGGGAGGAACACCAGUGGCGAAGGCGGCGACCUGGGCCAAUAUUGACGCUGAGGUGCGAAAGCGUGGGGAGCAAACAGGAUAGAUA